rnacentral:lncRNA from 1 species
CCACUAUUUUGUUCUCUCCUUUUUUUUUUCUUUUAGCCUUAUCUUCCCAGGGACCUAAGGACACCGGCGGGGCAGAUGUCAGCUGUGGAUUUAGUUCAGACCUAUUAACUCAUCCUGCCAGAGAGUGGUCUGCUAAUGGGAUUCCUUGGCAUCUCUUCCUUCCAUGGAAUCCCAUCUAGAAGUCAUUUCUGGUGCUUGCAUCCUCUGAGCUGUUCUGAGCCAAUCGCCAGCCCAAAGACCGUCUCGAUCCUCUUCGGCUCUCUCAGCGUUGACCACUCACUGAUGCUGUUGCUCCCGCCAGGAACUCCCAUCCUCCCCACCCC